rnacentral:rRNA from 1 species
CAGUAGCCGCGGUAAUACGAAGGGUGCAAGCGUUAAUCGGAAUUACUGGGCGUAAAGCGUGCGUAGGCGGUUUGUUAAGUCUGCUGUGAAAUCCCCGGGCUCAACCUGGGAAUGGCAGUGGAUACUGGCAAGCUAGAGUGUGUCAGAGGAUGGUGGAAUUCCCGGUGUAGCGGUGAAAUGCGUAGAGAUCGGGAGGAACAUCAGUGGCGAAGGCAGCCCCCUGGGUCAAGAUUGACGCUCAUGCACGAAAGCGUGGGGAGCAAACAGGAUUAGAUACCCGCGUAGUCCCUGUCUCUUAUAC